AAGGACGGGCUCGCCCAGGCCCGUUCGGCCCUCCCCCGCCGCCCGGCCUCCGGCGCCGACGCCAUUGGCAAGAUUUUCCAGGGGGCCGACCUCUGGAGCAAGAUCGCCGCCGACCCCACCACGCGCGCCUACCUCGACCAGCCCGACUUCAUGCAGAUGCUGCGCGAUCUGCAGCGGAACCCCGGCAACCUCAACAACUACCUCUCCGACCCCCGCAUGAUGCAGGUGCUCAGCCUCAUGCUCAACGUCAAGGUCCAGAACCAGAACAAUGAGGCCUCCGAGCCGACGCCGGCCAAGUCGUCCCCGC
rnacentral:lncRNA from 1 species